CCUACGGGUGGCUGCAGUGGGGAAUAUUGGACAAUGGGGGCAACCCUGAUCCAGCCAUGCCGCGUGUGUGAAGAAGGCCCUCGGGUUGUAAAGCACUUUCAGUGAGGAAGAACGCCUGGUGGUUAAUACCCAUCAGGAAAGACAUCACUCACAGAAGAAGCACCGGCUAACUCCGUGCCAGCAGCCGCGGUAAUACGGAGGGUGCGAGCGUUAAUCGGAAUUUCUGGGCGUAAAGCGCGCGUAGGUGGCUUGAUAAGCCGGUUGUGAAAGCCCCGGGCUCAACCUGGGAACGGCAUCCGGAACUGUCAAGCUAGAGUGCAGGAGAGGAAGGUAGAAUUCCCGGUGUAGCGGUGAAAUGCGUAGAGAUCGGGAGGAAUACCAGUGGCGAAGGCGGCCUUCUGGACUGACACUGACACUGAGGUGCGAAAGCGUGGGUAGCAAACAGGAUUAGAUACCCCUGUAGUC
rnacentral:rRNA from 1 species